rnacentral:rRNA from 1 species
GACGAACGCUGACGGUGUGCUUUAGACAUGCAAGUCGAGCGAGAAAGCCCUUCGGGGUGAGUAAAGCGGCGAACGGGUGAGUAACACGUGGGCAAUCUGCCCCUCGCAGGGGGACAACCGGGGGAAACUCCGGCUAAUACCCCGUAAGCUUGAUGGAUCGCAUGAUCCAUCAAGGAAAGGUAGCUUCGGCCAUCCGGCGAGGGAUGACGCCCGG